rnacentral:rRNA from 1 species
UGGGGAAUAUUGCACAAUGGGGGAAACCCUGAUGCAGCGACGCCGCGUGAGUGAAGAAGUAUUUCGGUAUGUAAAGCUCUAUCAGCAGGGAAGAAAGUGACGGUACCUGACUAAGAAGCCCCGGCUAACUACGUGCCAGCAGCCGCGGUAAUACGUAGGGGGCAAGCGUUAUCCGGAUUUACUGGGUGUAAAGGGAGCGUAGACGGCACCGCAAGUCUGAAGUGAAAGCCCCGGGCUUAACCCGGGAACUGCUUUGGAAACUGUGGGGCUGGAGUGCUGGAGAGGUAAGCGGAAUUCCUAGUGUAGCGGUGAAAUGCGUAGAUAUUAGGAGGAACACCAGUGGCGAAGGCGGCUUACUGGACAGUCACUGACGUUGAGGCUCGAAAGCGUGGGGAGCAAACAGGAUUAGAUACCC